AAGUCGAACGAUGAUGCCCAGCUUGCUGGGCGGAUUAGUGGCGAACGGGUGAGUAACACGUGAGUAACCUGCCCUUGACUUCGGGAUAACUCCGGGAAACCGGGGCUAAUACCGGAUAUGAGCCGUCCUCGCAUGGGGGUGGUUGGAAAGUUUUUCGGUCAGGGAUGGGCUCGCGGCCUAUCAGCUUGUUGGUGGGGUGAUGGCCUACCAAGGCGACGACGGGUAGCCGGCCUGAGAGGGCGACCGGCCACACUGGGACUGAGACACGGCCCAGACUCCUACGGGAGGCAGCAGUGGGGAAUAUUGCACAAUGGGCGAAAGCCUGAUGCAGCGACGCCGCGUGAGGGAUGAAGGCCUUCGGGUUGUAAACCUCUUUCAGCAGGGAAGAAGCGCAAGUGACGGUACCUGCAGAAGAAGCGCCGGCUAACUACGUGCCAGCAGCCGCGGUAAUACGUAGGGCGCAAGCGUUGUCCGGAAUUAUUGGGCGUAAAGAGCUCGUAGGCGGUUUGUCGCGUCUGGUGUGAAAACUCGAGGCUCAACCUCGAGCUUGCAUCGGGUACGGGCAGACUAGAGUGCGGUAGGGGAGACUGGAAUUCCUGGUGUAGCGGUGGAAUGCGCAGAUAUCAGGAGGAACACCGAUGGCGAAGGCAGGUCUCUGGGCCGCAACUGACGCUGAGGAGCGAAAGCAUGGGGAGCGAACAGGAUUAGAUACCCUGGUAGUCCAUGCCGUAAACGUUGGGCACUAGGUGUGGGGCUCAUUCCACGAGUUCCGUGCCGCAGCAAACGCAUUAAGUGCCCCGCCUGGGGAGUACGGCCGCAAGGCUAAAACUCAAAGGAAUUGACGGGGGGCCCGCACAAGCGGCGGAGCAUGCGGAUUAAUUCGAUGCAACGCGAAGAACCCUUACCAAGGCUUGACAUGCACGAGAAGCCACCAGAGAUGGUGGUCUCUUUGGACACUCGUGCACAGGUGGUGCAUGG
rnacentral:rRNA from 1 species